UACGUAGGGGGCAAGCGUUGUCCGGAUUUAUUGGGCGUAAAGAGCGUAUAGGCGGCUGGGUAGGUCCGUUGUGAAAACUCGAGGCUCAACCUCGAGACGCCGAUGGAAACCCCCCAGCUAGAGUCCGGAAGAGGAGAGUGGAAUUCCUGGUGUAGCGGUGAAAUGCGCAGAUAUCAGGAAGAACACCCGUGGCGUAAGGCGGCUCUCUGGACGGUACUGACGCUGAGACGCGAAAGCGUGGGGAGCGAACAGG
rnacentral:rRNA from 1 species